CCUACGGGGGGCAGCAGUGGGGAAUAUUGGACAAUGGGCGCAAGCCUGAUCCAGCAAUGCCGCGUGUGUGAAGAAGGCCUGCGGGUUGUAAAGCACUUUAAGCAGGAAAGAAGGGGUGAAAGUUAAUACCUUUCAUCAUUGACGUUACCUGCAGAAUAAGCACCGGCUAACUCCGUGCCGGCAGCCGCGGUAGUACGGAGGGUGCGGGCGUUAAUCGGAGGUAGUGGGUGUAAUGCGUGCGUCGUGAAAGCCCUGGGCUUAACCUGGGAACUGCGGUGGAUACUGUCGGGCUAGAGUGUGGUAGAGGGGAGUGGAAUAUCCGGUGUAGCAGUGAAAUGCGUAGAGAUCGGAAGGAACACCAGUGGCGAAGGCGGCUCCCUGGACUAACACUGACGCUGAGGUGCGAAAGCGUGGGGAGCAAACAGGAUUAGAUACCCCAGUAGUC
rnacentral:rRNA from 1 species